AUGUUAAGGUUUCAGGCACAAGGCAGUUUACGUCCGGUGGCUCAGUCUUUCACCAAAGAAGUUAUCCUCCUGCCAGACCAUACAUCUACACAUGUGCCAAGGCGUGCCAAGAAAGCUUGGCUUUUUGAAAAGGGACAUAUAAAGUCUGCCUUAGAAUUUGGGUGUGACUGGGACGCUGACAAAGUUAUGCAGACUAUAACAGCAGCCUUCCAGCCAGUUGUGGAGGGAUGCAGAUUACAAAUCUUGAUGUCGUGCUACAACAAAUUAGUGGAGCCAUCCCUGACUUCUAAACAGACUUUAGGUGGAGACCUUCUGAAAAAACUUUUUCUUCAGAAGUCCAUUUAUGUCAGGCCUGACAAGGUCAUUUUAAGUGAAGAGAAAGAAUCUUCAUGUUCUGAUGAAGACAGUAGCAACACAAACAAGAAUGAUUUCAAAGAAACAUCGGAUCCUGACAAAUGUGGUAAAUACUUUUAUUUACAUCCAUAUAAUUUUUUUUUUUUUUCAUUUUAAAUCUACUACAUAAUGUAAUGUUGAAGAUAUAAAUGUGUUCUGUUGCUUACACUCUCAUAUAAGUGAAAUCCUAAUAGAAAAAUUAACCAGCUAUUUUUCCUUGUUUAUACAGUCACUGAUAGUGUGCCUGACAUUUCCAAAGAUGUUUUUUCAGCCAUCUCCACUGUUGAGGUCAGGGGCGGACUUACCCAUUAGGCAAAGGUAGGCGACUGCCUUGGGCCCCCAAAAGCCAAGGGCCCCCUAAUGCUUUUCAUAUAGGAGAUGCGCAUUAAGCGCGGACACGCGAACGGUUGCUGUUUACGGUGUUUAUGCACGACAAUCGUCUGCGCGUCCGAGUUGAACGUGCUUCUUGUGUAUCCAGCUUGUAGCAAAAUAAAAUUUUAUGCAUCUAAAGCUGACUGCCGCACGAGCGCGAGGUCCCUCUUUCCCAGCGCGGCACACUUCUCUCUCUGCGUUCAGCGCGCGGCUGAAAGGAGCUGCGCUUUCAGUUAAAACACUGAUAUGUUGCUUCUCUAAUUUUACAUAUAAGUAUAGCUGAAAUCACAGCACAGCUAUUGUCUUCAAGCUAUUCUGUAGCCUAUUUGAUUUUUAUCAGACGACGGCACGAUUAUAUAUUUUUGUGCAGAUUAACUUCUCGGAAGGGAGAGCUGGUUAGUCUUAAUGGGUCGCGUUUCAGUUACUAUUUCAUAUUCAUCCCGUUGUCUGACAACAAACAGUCAAAUGUAUCAAUGAAAACAGUUUUGAGAAUUUAGCUGCAUCAAAAUACAGUAUGUGGCACAGAGAGGCAAACAAAUGUAAUAAUAAAUAAUAAAUGUACAUUUUGCAUGUUCAGAAGUGAGCUGCCCUGUCAUGCGAAAAUGCAAACAGGUUUGUGUAAAGUGCUCAGUGCAAAGAAAGCGAAUUAAUAGGAAGCUAGUAUUUCUGUUUUUUUAUUUUUUUCAUGUGUCUAAUAGACAUGAACAAGUUCUUUGAAAAACAUCUAUGACCUAUGAAACAUGUCUACUCUUCAUGCUCUGUUAACUGGUUUCACUAAUAAUAAACAUUUAUUGCAUAAAUUAAUUUUUGCAUUACAAAAAUGCCUUAAAAGAAAGUGUUACAGGUGUGCAUAUUGACACAGAACAAUGAGUUUUAAGAUAUGUCAGAGCAAGAUAUUUUCAGUUGAGACAGCUCAAACAUGCAUUUUAGUCUGGGACUAGCUUAAGCCUUGUCUGUGCAACCAUGGGGAAAAUAUUCAUUUAAGGUACAUUUAGAACAGAUAAAAAUGUGCAAUUAAGUUGCGAUUAUUCACAAGUUAACUCAUGACAAUCAUGCCAUUAAUCGUGAUUAUAUAUUUUAAUUGAUUGACAGCCCUAAGUUAAAAUGACUAAAAUAAAAUGUAGGCUUACGCUGGUAACUCACAUUUUCAUUUUACCUGAUAAAGUACCAUUUAUGAGCUGAGCUGUUUUGUUUAGAGCUGUUACCGGGGAAACCACUAUAUUUCUGACUCCAAAAGCACCUCCUACUGGCAGAGAAUGAAUGUGCAUUUUCAAUAAUCCAGUCUGCAGUUUUUGUUCAGACCAAUGCGAAUAUUCACUCACAUAAAUCUGUUUUAAAUAAUAUUAUAAUUUAUACUUCUGACUCAUCCCAGAAAUAUAAAGUUUCAGUUGUGAGGUUUAUCAUUUUAUAAUUUAUUUUGUUUUAUGUGAAAACAAAAAAAACGGUAAAUCAAUUGCUAUUUCGUGGUCUACAACAUGAAAUAAUAAAAGUAUCUGCUAAAUGAAUAAAUGUAAA
ensembl:lncRNA